AGAACACCUGCACUUGGCUGACCUUCCCUUCUCCUAAAAAUACAGGAUCGGUCUCAGGCCAUGGACCUGGCAACCCUAAUUGAAGAAGCAACCUAAAAAUGACAACAAAGCAGCAGGAUCCUGGGAAAAUGGCCGCGAAGAGUGCAGGAAAAGGUGCCGUCAUUGGAAACACUUUGCUGCAGGCUCAGGCAAAAAGAGUGACCAGCCCCAUGCUUUGGAUGUUCCUUAAAGGUCUGAAGUCAGCUGUGGAGAAGGGAGGUGUGGCCAGCAGAGGACAGAGUCACCUCAAAACACGGCCAGAAAAAUAAUUUUUGCUGCUUUUCAAGUAACUAGUGAACCCAUAGCCUAAAACUGACAAAUCCACCCAAUCCUAUGGUAUAGUGAUAUCAAAAUGUUUGCAGUAUAU